rnacentral:rRNA from 1 species
UACGUAGGGUGCAAGCGUUGUCCGGAAUUAUUGGGCGUAAAGAGCUCGUAGGCGGCUUGUUGCGUCUGCUGUGAAAUCCCGGGGCUUAACCCCGGGCGUGCAGUGGAUACGGGCAGGCUGGAGGCAGGCAGGGGAGAAUGGAAUUCCCGGUGUAGCGGUGAAAUGCGCAGAUAUCGGGAGGAACACCCGUGGCGAAGGCGGCACUCUGGGACGGUACUGACGCUGAGACGCGAAAGCGUGGGGAGCAAACAGG